CCGGCCCGCCCGGGCAGCGCUGUAUCCUUUGGCCCAGUGGGCAGGGCCCGAGCUGGAACCCUCUCCGGUUGUUGGGACGACGGUGCCCUGGAAUUUCAGCCUCCCUGGCCGGUGGCGUGAAGGAGAAAGGCUCUACAGCAAGUCCCCCAGAGAUCACACACAAUCCACCCUCACAGGCCAGCCGCAAUUCAGAGCUCAGAGAGGUCAAAAGUUUCCUUGCAAGUGCAGGAAUGCUGAACACAGAGCAGGCACCGGGGACAAGAAAAAGACCUGGACACACAUCCCAACCUGGGCUUAAGAGUCCCCCCAUCCAGACCUGGUGACAAGAGACUGGCGGCGAAGGGCCGGAGAGGGGUCUGGGGACAGCAGGCACCCCUACGCCCCAGUGCCCGGGACACUCGGGGAGGACUGAGCGCAAGCACCGCGCAGUACCCUGCUAUGACCCAGAUAAGGGAAGUGAGAAGCUGGGUGCCCCCCAGGCGGCCACCUGA